ACCCCCUUAGUGCUGGCUCCAGGCAUCUAAACCAGGAUAAGCUGUUUAAAUCUCUUUGUAUUUUUCAGACACUGUGUCUCUCCAGGCCCAGAAACAGAAAAGAACACCACUAACCAUAUGAUAUGCCCUUUACUGCAGUCCCUGAGGGCUGAAGGCACUGAUGGAGUGAGACUCCAGCCCUCACCCCCAUCAGGUUUACUUGUUGAAGUUGUUGCUACCUUAUGCUGAUAAAGGAAAAGAGGUCAAGAGACAGGACUCUGGGACUUCAGUCAAUUCUAGACAGCCUGAGGCUUGCACAGAGAUCUGGAAUCAGGCCCUUGAGCAGAGAUGCUGCUCUGCUUGCUGAUGGCAGAUUGAAGCCUUUCAGAUAGUUAUUGCCCAGCUUGCUGCCAGCUGCUGGUGCCUGCACUCCCAUCACAGGGUAUGUUUAUGUGCCCUUUUGUUGUCACGUGUACUGCUUCCUAAUGAUAUUAUGUUAAAUGUUUUUCCUUUCCCCUAAACUUCUAUUAUCGAUAAUAAAAUCAAUUUUUUUAAAAUAUAUUUUCGAAAA
rnacentral:lncRNA from 1 species